rnacentral:rRNA from 1 species
AAUCAACGCUGGCGGCGUGCCUAACACAUGCAAGUCGAACGCGAAAGCCCCGCAAGGGGUGAGUAGAGUGGCAAACGGGUGAGUAACGCGUGGGUGAUCUACCUCUGAGUGGGGGAUAACCUUCCGAAAGGAGGGCUAAUACCGCAUCACAUUACGCUCUUAGAUGAGUGCGUAUCAAAGCUGGAACCCGCAAGGGUCUG